GGACUACCGGGGUUUCUAAUCCCGUUUGCUCCCCUAGCUUUCGCGCCUCAGCGUCAGUCGCAGACCAGGACGCCGCCUUCGCCACUGGUGUUCCUCCGGGUCUCUACGCAUUUCACCGCUACUCCCGGAGUUCCACGUCCCUCUCCUGCACUCAUAUUCCUGCCGUUACAGAUGGCCCUCCCCAGUUGAGCCGGGGGCUUUCACACCUGUCGUACAGAACCGCCUACGCGCUCUUUACGCCCAGUAAUUCCGGACAACGCUCGCCUCCUACGUAUUACCGCGGCUGCUGGCAC
rnacentral:rRNA from 1 species